rnacentral:tRNA from 1 species
GUUUUUUUAGUUGAAUAACAACGGUGGUUUUUCACGUCACAGGUUCUGGUUAGAGUCCAGGAAGAAACU